rnacentral:rRNA from 1 species
CAGCAGCCGCGGUAAUACGUAGGUCCCGAGCGUUGUCCGGAUUUAUUGGGCGUAAAGGGAGCGCAGGCGGUUUAGUAAGUCUGAAGUUAAAGGCAUUGGCUCAACCAAUGUAUGCUUUGGAAACUGUUAGACUUGAGUGCAGAAGGGGAGAGUGGAAUUCCAUGUGUAGCGGUGAAAUGCGUAGAUAUAUGGAGGAACACCGGUGGCGAAAGCGGCUCUCUGGUCUGUCACUGACGCUGAGGCUCGAAAGCGUGGGUAGCGAACAGGAUUAGAUACCCCUGUAGUCCCUGUCUCUUAUACC